GUGAAAUAAUAAAACAGUUUCGAAUACAAAGUUUUUCACGAUGUACCUUUUUGUGGCGGUGAGUGAAGGGUUGUGGGACGGUGGUUCUGCGUGUGGAAGGCUCUAUAAAAUUAGGUGCCUGAGUGGAUUUAAUAUGCCCUGCAAGGGUGGUGCUACUGUGGAGGUGAAGGUGGUCGACCUUUGCCGUCAAUCUCCUUGCCCUUCUACCAUAGCCAUGUCAACCGAUGCUUUUGCAGCCAUCUCACACUCACCUUCUACACGAAUCAACAUCGAAUAUGUCCAGAUCUGAAAUCAGCUGAACCAGAUCUAUAUGCUGAUCACAUACAGCUGAGGAUAUUUCUCAAAGAACUCUCUCCGACGGCCAACGCUUCUAAUUCUUAAAACUUAGCUCUCAUCCUUCAACUGUAUUAUAUAAUAAUGGUCGAUAAUACUUUCAACUGUAUUAUCUCUUACUUCAACUGUAUUAAAUAGGAUGUUUUUUCAUAUGUUUAAUCUUUAUUGUUUCCUUGUUGGUACUGAAAUCUGUUAAAAUUGAAGUGUUUUUCUAGAAUGACUUCCCACAUACCAAACAACUUAUAUUAAUUCCUUGUUUGUGGCUGUCUUGGAAACCCACAUGUUUUCAUGGUGCGGUGGCACUCCUUUAUGCUUCGGUUUUCCUUCCACACCAUAGUUUUCAAUUGCAUUGAUAACUAGAUGUGGCUUAUACUUUUGAGUUAGUUUUUUCAUCUUUCCUUUUGGCUGUACUGUUCAUGCUCUAGGUGAGAGUGUUGUAACUUGUAAGCUUAUUUCCUUGUUAGUGAAAGUUGAUUCAUCUUCACUGAGUUCCGUUCUUUCUCUUCACUGUUGGUUGUAAAUUUGGUGUCUGCACUAACUGUGAAGCAAUACUCGGAGGUUGGAAUAUUGUCUAGACAUGUCUUAGUCUCAAAUUUAUAGCUUUUGUACAAUUAAUUUGAAAACAGCACGGAGGGUUUGUGAAUUUCGAGUCUUGAUUUGUCAUACAAUAGCUUGUUGAUUACUUAUUCUAAUACUAGUUCCUCUUAUUCUUCCUUCCCUCAACUUACGACAUUGAAAUUGUCUUCUGGAAAGUUGAGAACAUUUCCUGAUUUCUUGAGAAAUCAAUCAAAAUUAAGCACUUUGGACCUUUCAGCAAACCUGAUCCAUGGUGAAAUAACCAACUGGAUUUGGAAGUUGAGCAGUCUUUAGUCAAUCAAAUCUUUCUUGCAACUCUCUGGUAAAUCUACCAGGUCCUGUGGUGCUGGCAUAUCAAAUUGAGCUUUCUCAACUGAUUCCGAUGGCUGUAUUGGCAGCAAAGAAUCCUAACCAACUCCAACCAAUUCUCUCUGUGAAAAAAGGGGAGGCAUGUUGUAUUCCCAUCCUCCAUUGCAUUGGUGGUAAAGGUGGCAAUGGUGGCAUGUCUUCCAGAUUGACCACAGUAGCUUCAGGGGCCAGGACUGAUCUAGGAAGGGUAGAAUCUAAUGGUUCCAGCGUUUGCUUCAUAACUUCAAGUUCCUGGCCUAAUGGUAACUCUGAUGUUAAAGCUUGGCUUGGAAGAUAUUCAGGAUGAGAUUCCAGGGAAGCAUCCAGCAUACUUCCUGUUUGAUGUGCUCCGCAAAUGGUAACUGGUUGGAUUUCUCCGACUCCAUACGGUUUUGAGACCCUGUGUCCGUGAAGCAUCCUGCUGCUGGUGUUAGGCAUCUGUGGAGCAUCCUGCUGCUAUGUUAAGCCAUGUGCCUGCCAGGCAUCCUGCUGAUCUAUCAGACCAUGUAUCUAUCCUUGCUUGUUGAAGCAGAUGUCCUCUUUGAGUGUUCUUGUUUUUCGAUCCAAUCCUUUUUGUGGACGCGUUGGAUGCAACAAAACCAGUGGUACUUGGCCAAAGCUUCAAAGACAUAGCUCGCAACAAUUUUGGUGGUGAAUUACUAGGAAGAUGCUUGAGAACCUGGCAAGCAAUGAUGGCUGGUGAAGAUGAUGCCUGAGUCAAAAAUUAAUCACAUACGAUUUGAAGUUCUACGGUUCAGUCAGGUAUUCUAUCAGGAUGCUAUAACAGUUACCAAUAAAGGACUGGAAAUGGGUUGGUAAAGAUUCUAAUUGUUUUAAGCUACAUUGACAUCUCAUGCAACAAGUUUAGUGGAG